AUUUAAAUAGUUUAUAAAAAUAUUGAUUUGUGGAGUCAAAGAUGUAAUUAAUUACUUUAAAUA
rnacentral:tRNA from 1 species